rnacentral:rRNA from 1 species
UACGUAGGGUGCGAGCGUUGUCCGGAAUUAUUGGGCGUAAAGAGCUCGUAGGCGGUGUGUCGCGUCGGCCGUGAAAACCUGGGGCUCAACUCUGGGCGUGCGGUCGAUACGGGCAUCACUUGAGUUCGGCAGGGGAGACUGGAAUUCCUGGUGUAGCGGUGAAAUGCGCAGAUAUCAGGAGGAACACCGGUGGCGAAGGCGGGUCUCUGGGCCGAUACUGACGCUGAGGAGCGAAAAGCAUGGGUAGCGAACAGG